GGCGAAAAAACCUUACACACAGUGUUUUUUGUUAUUACAAGAACUCUUGCUUUGGUCUGGACUAGAAAUAGUUUGGGCCAGAGGUUUACUAAACUAAACUUCAAUAUUUAUAUUGAAUUGUUAUUUAUUUUAAUUGUCAAUUUGUUGAUUAAAUUCAAAAAAUCUUCAAAACUUUCAACAACGGAUCUCUUGGUUCUCGCAUCGAUGAAGAACGCAGCGAAAUGCGAUAAGUAAUAUGAAUUGCAGAUUUUCGUGAAUCAUCGAAUCUUUGAACGCACAUUGCGCCCUUUGGUAUUCCAAAGGGCAUGCCUGUUUGAGCGUCAUUUCUCUCUCAAACCUUCGGGUUUGGUAUUGAGUGAUACUCUUAGUCGAACUAGGCGUUUGCUUUGAAAUGUAUUGGCAUGAGUGGACUGGAUAGUGCUAUAUGACUUUCAAUGUAUUAGGUUAUCCACUCCGUGAUAAGUUAAAUGGAUAUUUCUCGGAUUCUAGGUCGGCCUACAUAUACAACAAGUUAGACUCAAUCAGGAGACUACCCGCUGACUAAGCUAUCAUAACGGAGA
rnacentral:rRNA from 1 species